CACUGAUUUCACAGCUCAAACCCAAUUCAUCACUACCCAGCCGCCCCGUCCAUACAUGCAACCUUCGAUGGCCUUGACACAACGAUCCCUCCUCGUGAUCAAUUAUGAGCCGCCGACACCACCGACUGUUGCUUGCGUCGCCCCAGAACGACUCUCCCUUUUCUAUUUAGUCAUAGCGCAAGAUAGGGGACGACAACGAUGGGGAGGAGGAAUGCCAGUCGAAACAUGGCAUGCAUUAUGUUUGGUGGUUGAUGACGUUAAGAAGAUGUUCGACUGAGAAAGAUUGGUUUCUAUUUUAUUCUUGAUCAGCUAUAAUGGUGUAACCAAACCCAUACUCCAGGUAUUCGAUGAAAACCCCAGUUGAAGUGACAAUGUUUAAAAACAACAUUUAACCAGUUUUUGGGGGCGUAUUGAAGUCUUUUUUAAAUAAAUAUUUAACUGACUAAGCAAUGUUUUUGGUGGUGUUAGAUUGUUCUUACAGAGAUGAAACCAAUACGACAUUUGAGAACAUAUAUCCUGUGCUUACAGAAUUCAGAAAGAACCAGCAGUGAUUCUUGAUUUGACCUGCCAUCGGACUUUUAGAGUUUUAGUGGUAUAAGGAAAGGUAAGUGUAAAUAUGAUGUUGGGAAUGGAUAUGGAAUGGAAAUGAAGCCAAAUGCCCACUUUUUCUUUUUUUUUUUUUCA